AUCCCAUCUCAGCCUCUGGGCUAAGGUCAAGUGUACUGUCUGUGGUUAUCAGUUUAAUACUGAGUGCAUCCUUAGUUGGAGGACAGUACCGUAAAUGGAUUUGGUGAGCAGAGGGUGACAUUACUGCGUUCAUUCCACACAUUCACCAAACACUCCAGAGCCUCCAGGAAUGAUGUAGCCUCU